GAAAUGCGAUAAGUAAUGUGAAUUGCAGAAUUCAGUGAAUCAUCGAAUCUUUGAACGCAGCUUGCGCUCCUUGGUAUUCCUUGGAGCAUGCCUGUUUGAGUAUCAUGAAAUCUUCAAAGUAAAUCUUUUGUUAACUCAAUUGGUUUCUACUUCGGUAUUGGAGGUCUUUGCAGCUUCACACCUGCUCCUCUUUGUUCAUUAGCUGGAUCUCAGUGUUAUGCUUGGUUCCACUCGGCGUGAUAAGUUAUCUAUCGCUGAGGACACUGUAAAAGGUGGCCAAGGUAAAUGCAGAUGAACCGCUUCUAAUAGUCCAUUGACUUGGACAAUACUUUUAUGAUCUGAUCUCAAAUCAGGUAGGACUACCCGCUGAACUUAAGC
rnacentral:misc_RNA from 1 species